rnacentral:rRNA from 1 species
GACGAACCGUCCAACCGUUAUUCGGAAUCACUGGGCUUACAGAGUUCGUAGGCGGUCUGGAAAGUUGGGUGUGAAAUCCCUCGGCUCAACCGAGGAACUGCGCUUGAAACUACCAGACUCGAGGGAGAUAGAGGAAAGCGGAACUGAUGGUGGAGCGGUGAAAUGCGUUGAUAUCAUCAGGAACACCGGUGGCGAAGGCGGCUUUCUGGGUCUUACCUGACGCUGAGGAACGAAAGCUAGGGGAGCGAACGGG